CCUACGGGUGGCAGCAGUGGGGAAUAUUGCACAAUGGGGGAAACCCUGAUGCAGCGACGCCGCGUGAGUGAAGAAGUAAUUCGUUAUGUAAAGCUCUAUCAGCAGGGAAGAAAAUGAAGGUACCUGAGUAAGAAGCCCCGGCUAACUACGGGCCAGCAGCCGCGGUAAUACGUAGGGGGCAAGCGUUAUCCGGAUUUACUGGGUGGAAAGGGAGCGUAGACGGCAGUGCAAGUCUGGAGUGAAAGGCGGGGGCUCAACCCCCGGACUGCUCUGGAAACUGUACGGCUGGAGUGCAGGAGAGGUAAGUGGAAUUCCUAGUGUAGCGGUGAAAUGCGUAGAUAUUAGGAGGAACACCAGUGGCGAAGGCGGCUUACUGGACUGUAACUGACGUUGAGGCUCGAAAGCGUGGGGAGCAAACAGGAUUAGAUACCCCAGUAGUC
rnacentral:rRNA from 1 species